rnacentral:rRNA from 1 species
UAUCACUAAGCGGAGGAAAAGAAACUAACAAGGAUUCCCUUAGUAACGGCGAGUGAACAGGGAAGAGCCCAGCACCGAAGCCUGUGGCCAUUUGGUCUCUAGGCAAUGUGGUGUUUAGGUCAGCUCGCGGAGACACUGUCCCACUCUAAGUCCAGCAAUGAGACUGGUAUCUGGACAUGGCCCAAAGAGGGUGAAAGGCCCGUGAGGGUGGGAACUCAGACAUGCCAGUGUCUCCCUGAGUAGACCUUGGAGUCGGGUUGUUUGUGAAUGCAGCCCAAAGUGGGUGGUAAACUCCAUCCAAGGCUAAAUACUAACACGAGUCCGAUAGCGAACAAGUACCGUGAGGGAAAGUUGAAAAGUACUUUGAAGAGAGAGUAAACAGUGCGUGAAACCGCUCAGAGGUAAACGGGUGGAGUUGAACUGCAAAGCUCCGAGAAUUUAACUGGUGAGUGUGGUAUACACUUGGAUAUAUUGGUUGGCCCUCAAAGUCUGCAGAAAACUGUGGAGGCUGUGCUAACGCGCGGCGUGCGUUGAAGCGCUUAUCAAGCGCUGUGCUCUUUGGGGGUACUUCGAACCUGCUUGCCAGUGCAUUUUCUCAGAGUGAUCACCACGACCGGCGCUGCUGUCUGUCUGCUGUGGUUAAACCGGGUGUGUAUCGUCCUUGUGGCUUUGCAUACUCGGGAUGGCAGGUAACCCGAUUGUGCUUGUCGCGAUUGGGUGUAAUCAGCUGACCAUAGUAGUACUGUACAGUGCGUCGGAGACGGCGGCUUGUGGUGCGUACAUGCGUGCAUGUUGAGUGGCGGCUUUGGGUCUGGUUAUACUGUAGCCUGUAAAAACAGGCCCUGUAAUGGCCCAGGGUUGUUCACUUGAUGGUUGCGUAUGGGGCACUUUAAUGGGCCUACAGUCUGUGGUGUAGUGGUAGACGAUCCACCGA